CAAUCGAGGUCGUAAACAAAGAUAAAAAAAAUUAAUGUUAGUUGUUUUAAAUAUUUCAAAUAGUAAAUACUAUGGAUGAAAACCAUGAAGCCGUGAUACAAAGCAUUUGUUGCACUUGUUUAAGCGUCGAUAGAAAAUUAACACAACUCUGUCGAGUUGAAAAUGGUGUCAAUUGUUUGUUUUUUCUACUUUCUCACGACUCGGAUGCUUAUCAGGCAAUGUUCCAAAAGGCAGCUAUUGAUCUAUAUAUCUGCUGGGAGUGCCGUGCUCUGAUGCAUAGAUUCUGCAAGUUCAGGGACCAGGCCUGCAUUGCUCAGAAGCAGCUGUCCAGCAUCUCUGACGGGAGACAUGAAGUAAUUGA